rnacentral:rRNA from 1 species
CCAGACUUCCUACGGGAGGCAGCAGUAGGGAAUCUUCCACAAUGGACGCAAGUCUGAUGGAGCAACGCCGCGUGAGUGAAGAAGGUUUUCGGAUCGUAAAGCUCUGUUGUUGGUGAAGAAGGAUAGAGGUAGUAACUGGCCUUUAUUUGACGGUAAUCAACCAGAAAGUCACGGCUAACUACGUGCCAGCAGCCGCGGUAAUACGUAGGUGGCAAGCGUUGUCCGGAUUUAUUGGGCGUAAAGCGAGCGCAGGCGGAAGAAUAAGUCUGAUGUGAAAGCCCUCGGCUUAACCGAGGAACUGCAUCGGAAACUGUUUUUCUUGAGUGCAGAAGAGGAGAGUGGAACUCCAUGUGUAGCGGUGGAAUGCGUAUGAUAUAUGGAAGAACACCAGUGGCGAAGGCGACUCUCUGGUCUGCAACUGACGCUGAGGCUCGAAAGCAUGGGUAGCGAACAGGAUUAGAUACCCUGGUAGUCCAUGCCGUAAACGAUGAGUGCUAAGUGUUGGGAGGUUUCCGCCUCUCAGUGCUGCAGCUAACGCAUUAAGCACUCCGCCUGGGGAGUACGACCGCAAGGUUGAAACUCAAAGGAAUUGACGGGGGCCCGCACAAGCGGUGGAGCAUGUGGUUUAAUUCGAAGCAACGCGAAGAACCUUACCAGGUCUUGACAUCUAGUGCCAUCCUAAGAGAUUAGAGUUCCCUUCGGGGACGCUAAGACAGGUGGUGCGUGGCUGUCGUCAGCUCGUGUCGUGAGAUGUUGGGUUAAGUCCCGCAACGAGCGCAACCCU